rnacentral:siRNA from 1 species
AAAGGAGAUUCACAAGCGCCUUGG